GAGCGUUCUGUAAGCCGUUGAAGGUGAAUCGUAAGGUUUGCUGGAGGUAUCAGAAGUGCGAAUGCUGACAUGAGUAACGACAAAGGGGGUGAAAAACCUCCUCGCCGGAAGACCAAGGGUUCCUGUCCAACGUUAAUCGGGGCAGGGUGAGUCGACCCCUAAGGUGAGGCCGAAAGGCGUAAUCGAUGGGAAACGGGUUAAUAUUCCCGUACUUCUGACUAUUGCGAUGGGGGGACGGAGAAGGCUAGGUGGGCCAGGCGACGGUUGUCCUGGUUCAAGUGCGUAGGCUUGAGAGUUAGGUAAAUCCGGCUCUCUUUAAGGCUGAGACACGACGUCGAGCUGCUACGGCAGUGAAGUCAUUGAUGCCAUGCUUCCAGGAAAAGCCUCUAAGCUUCAGAUAGUCAGGAAUCGUACCCCAAACCGACACAGGUGGUCGGGUAGAGAAUACCAAGGCGCUUGAGAGAACUCGGGUGAAGGAACUAGGCAAAAUGGUACCGUAACUUCGGGAGAAGGUACGCUCUUGAUGGUGAAGUCCCUCGCGGAUGGAGCUGACGAGAGUCGCAGAUACCAGGUGGCUGCAACUGUUUAUUAAAAACACAGCACUGUGCAAAAUCGCAAGAUGACGUAUACGGUGUGACGCCUGCCCGGUGCCGGAAGGUUAAUUGAUGGGGUUAGCGCAAGCGAAGCUCUUGAUCGAAGCCCCGGUAAACGGCGGCCGUAACUAUAACGGUCCUAAGGUAGCGAAAUUCCUUGUCGGGUAAGUUCCGACCUGCACGAAUGGCGUAAUGAUGGCCACGCUGUCUCCACCCGAGACUCAGUGAAAUUGAAAUCGCUGUGAAGAUGCAGUGUACCCGCGGCUAGACGGAAAGACCCCGUGAACCUUUACUACAGCUUGGCACUGAACAUUGAACCUACAUGUGUAGGAUAGGUGGGAGGCUAUGAAGACGUGACGCCAGUUGCGUUGGAGCCGUCCUUGAAAUACCACCCUUGUAUGUUUGAUGUUCUAACUUAGACCCAUUAUCUGGGUUGAGGACAGUGCCUGGUGGGUAGUUUGACUGGGGCGGUCUCCUCCCAAAGAGUAACGGAGGAGCACGAAGGUGGGCUAAUCACGGUUGGACAUCGUGAGGUUAGUGCAAUGGCAUAAGCCCGCUUAACUGCGAGAAUGACGGUUCGAGCAGGUGCGAAAGCAGGUCAUAGUGAUCCGGUGGUUCUGUAUGGAAGGGCCAUCGCUCAACGGAUAAAAGGUACUCCGGGGAUAACAGGCUGAUACCGCCCAAGAGUUCAUAUCGACGGCGGUGUUUGGCACCUCGAUGUCGGCUCAUCACAUCCUGGGGCUGAAGUCGGUCCCAAGGGUAUGGCUGUUCGCCAUUUAAAGUGGUACGCGAGCUGGGUUUAGAACGUCGUGAGACAGUUCGGUCCCUAUCUGCCGUGGGCGUUGGAAGAUUGAAGGGGGCUGCUCCUAGUACGAGAGGACCGGAGUGGACGAACCUCUGGUGUUCGGGUUGUGUCGCCAGACGCAUUGCCCGGUAGCUAAGUUCGGAAUUGAUAAGCGCUGAAAGCAUCUAAGCGCGAAGCGAGCCCUGAGAUGAGUCUUCCCUGAUACUUUAAGUAUCCUAAAGGGUUGUUCGAGACUAGAACGUUGAUAGGCAGGGUGUGUAAGCGUUGUGAGGCGUUGAGCUAACCUGUACUAAUUGCCCGUGAGGCUUAACCAUACAACACCCAAGGGGUUUUGUA
rnacentral:rRNA from 1 species